GGAUAUAGCUCAGUGGCACAGCACGUGCCUGGCAAGCACGAGAUCAGGGGUUCAACUCCCAGUACCA
rnacentral:tRNA from 1 species